GUGCUCACUUCAGCAGCACAGACACUAAAAUUGGAACGAUACAGAGAAGAUUAGCAUGGCCCCUGAGCAAGGCUGACACGCAAAUUCAUGAAGCAUCCCAUAUCUAA
rnacentral:snRNA from 1 species